rnacentral:misc_RNA from 1 species
GAUGAAGAACGUAGCGAAAUGCGAUAAGUAAUGUGAAUUGCAGAAUUCCGUGAAUCAUCGAAUCUUUGAACGCAUAUUGCGCUCUUUGGUAUUCCGAAGAGCAUGCUUGUUUGAGUAUCAGUAAACACCUCAACCUCUUCUUGAUUUUUCAAAAGGAGGGUGGACUUGAGCUAUCCCAACAACCUUUACCGGUCGGCGGGCGGCUUGAAAUGCAGGUGCAGCUGGACUUUUAUCUGAGCUAAAAGCAUAUCUAUUUAGUCCUCGUCAAACAGGAUUAUUACUUUUGCUGCAGCUAACAUAAAGGAUAAUUGUCCUCUUUGCUGACUGAUGCAGGAUUUUACGACACUUUAUGUGUUGUUCAACUCGAUCUCAAAUCAAGUAAGACUACCCGCUGAACUUAAGCAUAUCAAUAAGCGGAGGA